GCUGCCCAGUUCCAGAUCAACAAUGUGAGACCCCCCUUCCUCGUGGAGACUGCACCACAGACAGCGAGUGUGGCGGCACCAAGAAAUGUUGUACCCCGUAUUGUACACUGACAUGCGUGGAGCCCCUGAAGCCUAAAGAAGGAAAUAAUUCCACUGUUACCAGUAGCAAAUAGGGUCCCAGAUGUCACAUGACCCUGCGGUCCCGGACGCUCUGUACCUGCAGAUUGGGGGCACCGGGCACAGAUUAUGGAUGAUAAAUGUACAUUGAGUCACAGUAACGGCUCAUUGUAUUGUGAGUGAUGUCCAAUGUAAAUGUAAUAAAAUGAGUUCCAUCAUCA